GGUUGCGAGCGUUAUUCGGAAUUACUGGGCGUAAAGCGUGCGCAGGCGGUUUGUUAAGACCGAUGUGAAAUCCCCGGGCUCAACCUGGGAACUGCAUUGGUGACUGGCAAGCUAGAGUAUGGCAGAGGGGGGUAGAAUUCCACGUGUAGCAGUGAAAUGCGUAGAGAUGUGGAGGAAUACCGAUGGCGAAGGCAGCCCCCUGGGCCAAUAC
rnacentral:rRNA from 1 species